CGCAGUAAACGGUGAACACUAGGUGUAGCGGGUAUUGACCCCUGCUGUGCCGAAGCUAACGCAUUAAGUGUUCCGCCUGGGGAGUACGACCGCAAGGUUAAAACUCCAAAGGAAUUGACGGGGCCCGCACAAGCGGUGGAGCAUGUGGUUUAAUUCGACGCAACGCGAAGAACCUUACCUGGGCUUGACAUCCUGAGAAAGCCCUCGAAAGAGGGAAGUGCCCUUCGGGGAACUCGGAGACAGGUGCUGCAUGGCUGUCGUCAGCUCGUGUCGUGAGAUGUUGGGUUAAGUCCCGCAACGAGCGCAACCCUUAUCUUUAGUUACCAUCAUUUAGUUGGGGACUCUAAAGAUACUGCCCCGGUUAACGGGGAGGAAGGUGGGGAUGACGUCAAGUCCUCAUGGCCUUUAUGCCCAGGGCUACACACGUGCUACAAUGGGUUGUACAAAGGGUCGCGAUCCCGUGAGGGGGAGCCAACCCCAAAAAGCAGCCCUUAGUUCGGAUUGGAGUCUGCAACUCGACUUCAUGAAGCUGGAAUCGCUAGUAAUCGUGGAUCAGCAUGCCACGGUGAAUACGUUCCCGGGCCUUGUACACACCGCCCGUCACACCAUGAGAGUUGGUUGUACCAGAAGUUGUUGGACCAACCCUGCUCCGGCAGGGAGGCAGGCACCUAGGGUAUGGCUGAUGAUUGGGGUGAAGUCGUAACAAGGUA
rnacentral:rRNA from 1 species